rfam:Fukomys damarensis contig96061, whole genome shotgun sequence.
GAUGUGAGGGUGAUCUGGCUGAGACCUCUGCCACCCCACUGAUCACCAGGGUUGAUUCGGCUGAUCUGGCUGGCUAGACAGGUGCCCCUAGGUCCCCUCCCCACUGCACCACCCCUGACAGAGGAGGAUCGUCUCCUUGGUCAAGGAUAUACGAGCAGCUGUGCUCCCCUGCUGGAACCUCCAAACAAGCUCUCAAGAAUGCCAGUGCCAUUGGCAAUUAAAGAAAAUACCAUCUUUCCCCAUUGCCUUCUCUUU